rnacentral:rRNA from 1 species
UUAAGCGACUAAGCGUACACGGUGGAUGCCCUGGCAGUCAGAGGCGAUGAAGGACGUGCUAAUCUGCGAUAAGCGUCGGUAAGGUGAUAUGAACCGUUAUAACCGGCGAUUUCCGAAUGGGGAAACCCAGUGUGUUUCGACACACUAUCAUUAACUGAAUCCAUAGGUUAAUGAGGCGAACCGGGGGAACUGAAACAUCUAAGUACCCCGAGGAAAAGAAAUCAACCGAGAUUCCCCCAGUAGCGGCGAGCGAACGGGGAGGAGCCCAGAGUCUGAAUCAGUGUGUGUGUUAGUGGAAGCGUCUGGAAAGGCGCGCGAUACAGGGUGACAGCCCCGUACACAAAAAUGCACAUACUGUGAGCUCGAUGAGUAGGGCGGGACACGUGGUAUCCUGUCUGAAUAUGGGGGGACCAUCCUCCAAGGCUAAAUACUCCUGACUGACCGAUAGUGAACCAGUACCGUGAGGGAAAGGCGAAAAGAACCCCGGCGAGGGGAGUGAAAAAGAACCUGAAACCGUGUACGUACAAGCAGUGGGAGCCUCUUUUAUGGGGUGACUGCGUACCUUUUGUAUAAUGGGUCAGCGACUUAUAUUCUGUAGCAAGGUUAACCGAAUAGGGGAGCCGAAGGGAAACCGAGUCUUAACUGGGCGUUAAGUUGCAGGGUAUAGACCCGAAACCCGGUGAUCUAGCCAUGGGCAGGUUGAAGGUUGGGUAACACUAACUGGAGGACCGAACCGACUAAUGUUGAAAAAUUAGCGGAUGACUUGUGGCUGGGGGUGAAAGGCCAAUCAAACCGGGAGAUAGCUGGUUCUCCCCGAAAGCUAUUUAGGUAGCGCCUCGUGAAUUCAUCUCCGGGGGUAGAGCACUGUUUCGGCAAGGGGGUCAUCCCGACUUACCAACCCGAUGCAAACUGCGAAUACCGGAGAAUGUUAUCACGGGAGACACACGGCGGGUGCUAACGUCCGUCGUGAAGAGGGAAACAACCCAGACCGCCAGCUAAGGUCCCAAAGUCAUGGUUAAGUGGGAAACGAUGUGGGAAGGCCCAGACAGCCAGGAUGUUGGCUUAGAAGCAGCCAUCAUUUAAAGAAAGCGUAAUAGCUCACUGGUCGAGUCGGCCUGCGCGGAAGAUGUAACGGGGCUAAACCAUGCACCGAAGCUGCGGCAGCGACGCUUAUGCGUUGUUGGGUAGGGGAGCGUUCUGUAAGCCUGUGAAGGUGUGCUGUGAGGCAUGCUGGAGGUAUCAGAAGUGCGAAUGCUGACAUAAGUAACGAUAAAGCGGGUGAAAAGCCCGCUCGCCGGAAGACCAAGGGUUCCUGUCCAACGUUAAUCGGGGCAGGGUGAGUCGACCCCUAAGGCGAGGCCGAAAGGCGUAGUCGAUGGGAAACAGGUUAAUAUUCCUGUACUUGGUGUUACUGCGAAGGGGGGACGGAGAAGGCUAUGUUGGCCGGGCGACGGUUGUCCCGGUUUAAGCGUGUAGGCUGGUUUUCCAGGCAAAUCCGGAAAAUCAAGGCUGAGGCGUGAUGACGAGGCACUACGGUGCAGAAGCAACAAAUGCCCUGCUUCCAGGAAAAGCCUCUAAGCAUCAGGUAACAUCAAAUCGUACCCCAAACCGACACAGGUGGUCAGGUAGAGAAUACCAAGGCGCUUGAGAGAACUCGGGUGAAGGAACUAGGCAAAAUGGUGCCGUAACUUCGGGAGAAGGCACGCUGAUAUGUAGGUGAAGUCCCUCGCGGAUGGAGCUGAAAUCAGUCGAAGAUACCAGCUGGCUGCAACUGUUUAUUAAAAACACAGCACUGUGCAAACACGAAAGUGGACGUAUACGGUGUGACGCCUGCCCGGUGCCGGAAGGUUAAUUGAUGGGGUCAGCGCAAGCGAAGCUCUUGAUCGAAGCCCCGGUAAACGGCGGCCGUAACUAUAACGGUCCUAAGGUAGCGAAAUUCCUUGUCGGGUAAGUUCCGACCUGCACGAAUGGCGUAAUGAUGGCCAGGCUGUCUCCACCCGAGACUCAGUGAAAUUGAACUCGCUGUGAAGAUGCAGUGUACCCGCGGCAAGACGGAAAGACCCCGUGAACCUUUACUAUAGCUUGACACUGAACAUUGAGCCUUGAUGUGUAGGAUAGGUGGGAGGCUUUGAAGUGUAGACGCCAGUCUGCAUGGAGCCGACCUUGAAAUACCACCCUUUAAUGUUUGAUGUUCUAACGUUGACCCGUAAUCCGGGUUGCGGACAGUGUCUGGUGGGUAGUUUGACUGGGGCGGUCUCCUCCUAAAGAGUAACGGAGGAGCACGAAGGUUGGCUAAUCCUGGUCGGACAUCAGGAGGUUAGUGCAAUGGCAUAAGCCAGCUUGACUGCGAGCGUGACGGCGCGAGCAGGUGCGAAAGCAGGUCAUAGUGAUCCGGUGGUUCUGAAUGGAAGGGCCAUCGCUCAACGGAUAAAAGGUACUCCGGGGAUAACAGGCUGAUACCGCCCAAGAGUUCAUAUCGACGGCGGUGUUUGGCACCUCGAUGUCGGCUCAUCACAUCCUGGGGCUGAAGUAGGUCCCAAGGGUAUGGCUGUUCGCCAUUUAAAGUGGUACGCGAGCUGGGUUUAGAACGUCGUGAGACAGUUCGGUCCCUAUCUGCCGUGGGCGCUGGAGAACUGAGGGGGGCUGCUCCUAGUACGAGAGGACCGGAGUGGACGCAUCACUGGUGUUCGGGUUGUCAUGCCAAUGGCACUGCCCGGUAGCUAAAUGCGGAAGAGAUAAGUGCUGAAAGCAUCUAAGCACGAAACUUGCCCCGAGAUGAGUUCUCCCUGACCCUUUAAGGGUCCUGAAGGAACGUUGAAGACGACGACGUUGAUAGGCCGGGUGUGUAAGCGCAGCGAUGCGUUGAGCUAACCGGUACUAAUGAACCGUGAGGCUUAACCUU